rnacentral:rRNA from 1 species
AUUGAACGCUGGCGGCAGGCCUAACACAUGCAAGUCGAACGAGUGGCGGACGGGUGAGUAAUGUCUGGGAAACUGCCCGAUGGAGGGGGAUAACUACUGGCAACGGUAGCUAAUACCGCAUACCAUCGGAUGUGCCGAGAUGGGAUUGGCUAGUGGGGGGGGUAACGGCGCACCUAGGCGACGAUCCCUAGCUGGUCUGCGAGGAUGACCAGCCACACUGGAAUGGAGACACGGUCCAGCGUCCUCCGGGAGGCAGCAGUGGGGAAUAUUGGACAAUGGGCGAAAGCCUGAUGCAGCCAUGCCGCGUGUAUGAAGAAGGCCUUCGGGUUGUAAAGUACUUUCAGCGAGGAGGCGUUACUCGCAGAAGAAGCAUCGGCUAACUCCGUGCCAGCAGCCGCGGUAAUAC